CUUUGAAUUGACCUCGGAUCAGGUAGGAUUAC
rnacentral:rRNA from 1 species